AGGAAGAAAAUGGAGGAACGGGGGGGGAACCUCUUUAAGGAGGAAGAAGUGGUGGCGAUCAAAUACCUGAUGUUGGAUGUAAGAGUAACACAGCAAGUGUGCAACCUAUAACUCAGCAAGAGCUGGCUGAGGAACAACGAUCUGACUUGCUACAGCCUUUAAGGUUUUGAAAUUCCCUGUUGGAAGAGGAUCAAACUUUCCGCUGUCUGUGAAGCAGAGCUGUUGAGACAUCCAUUUUCAUAUUCUCAAGGUCAAGCAUUUCUUGAGAUUUUUCUCUAUAGCAUCAGUUAAGACCUCAUAAACCUACCCUAACUAAAUUCAUUCAUGUGGCACUUACCUUGGAUAUCUUCAGCAACCAGAGAAAGCAGCUCUUUAAAAUGUAUGGAGACAGCCACCAGAUCAUGGCAAUAUGCAAAAAGCGUGGCGUUGUAACAGAAUUAUGGAGUGACCUCUGGGACAGUGGUGAGUUGGGAAUCAAUCUUUUGAAAACUGAUUUUCCCUUUGUGUCCUCUGCAAAGCCAGCUGAUCUCUCCUGCACAGUCCUCACCAAGAUGCAGCAAGCGGUGCUUGGUUUGCUGUGAGGAAAUGGGGCCAGUGUGCCCAGGCGGAUGCAAACUGUGGUCUGCGUUGUGUCAGCGUGGUCCUGGGGCAUUGCAUGCAAAGACGUGUGAAUCUCAGUCUUCCUCGCUGCUAGUGCUCCCAGAUGCACAGUGCAAACCCAUAUGUGAAGUGCGGUAAAAAAAUACCAACAAUAGAGCUGUAAACAUGAGUGAGCACUGCUUGGUUUGUAGGAGUUAGGGAUUGACUCCCCUGUGUUAAUUGACACCCCUUGGGUUAAUCACUCAUUUACUAGAAUGAAUGAUCACCAUUCAGUGCAGCAUGUGCUGUGAAAAGAGUAACAAAAAAGACAAAUAUCUAAAACCUAUUGUUAUGCUAAGGUAGAUAAGCAUGCAAAUAAGUCAUCACAGAUUGAAAAGCAGUCUGCUACCAGGAUGUGUUUUUUAGGUGUUCUGUUUUUGGUUGUUUUUUUUUUUUUAUAGUUCUCACUGAGCUAGGAGAAGGAAUAAAAAUAAAAUCAGAUCUUGAAACCAAAUUUCAGCUUUCAGAAGAAUGUGAUUAGAAUAUUUGUUUAUCCUCCCACCUCCAACGUGCCACUUCUCUAGGGGAUUCAGCUAUUGCAAUCAUAAGAAUGAUUUUAAUUUGUGGGAAAUGCAUCUUCAUUUUGCCAUGCUUAUAACUUGCUGGAGGGAGACGAGACCCCUUGCUAUCAAGUACUUUAAUGGGAAACUUCAGUUGAUAGAUUAUUGGGAGAAGCACUUCGGUGUGAUCUGUAGGAAAUUAAAAACACCUCCACUAUCAACAAUGGUGUCAUAGCCUUGAGGUAAAUACUUAUUGCUGUGUUCUUAUCUAUGAUUGGAAUCCUUGGAGUUGCUCAUGCAAAUGG